rnacentral:lncRNA from 1 species
CCCUGACCCUUCUUCCAAACAUAUUCUUUUGUCUCUUGUCUUUAUUCCCGCAUUCAUCCCCCUUUGUUCAGUCCACCAGGGAUCCUGGCAGGCUGCAAGUGGUGCCUCGAACAGCAACAGAAUCUGGUGCUUUACAAGUGGCGUCCAAACACAGGGGCUUCGAGGAUGUGAAUGAAGAAUGUCUGCUAGAGCAGAGGAACUGAAAUUGACAAGGCGAAUGGGGACCCCGGGAUGAGUCUGCUGGCAGCGGAUAUAAGAGAGAAGAUCGACCAGAGUCACGACGACAUCAACCCCCAUAACCUGGGACAACUCAAGAAAACUACGCAGGAAGCUGAGAAACUACUGGAGUGUCAAGGCCAGACAAAAACCCCUGAUUCCGUGUUCUUGGCCAUGUUAGCCAUAAUAUCCUGUGCAGUAUGUUUUUCCUGUGCAGAGGCAAAAACAUAUUGGGCAUAUGUUCC